GAAAGGCCAAUCAAACCGGGAGAUAGCUGGUUCUCCCCGAAAGCUAUUUAGGUAGCGCCUCGUGAAUUCAUCUCCGGGGGUAGAGCACUGUUUCGGCUAGGGGGCCAUCCCGGCUUACCAACCCGAUGCAAACUGCGAAUACCGGAGAAUGUUAUCACGGGAGACACACGGCGGGUGCUAACGUCCGUCGUGAAGAGGGAAACAACCCAGACCGCCAGCUAAGGUCCCAAAGUCAUGGUUAAGUGGGAAACGAUGUGGGAAGGCCCAGACAGCCAGGAUGUUGGCUUAGAAGCAGCCAUCAUUUAAAGAAAGCGUAAUAGCUCACUGGUCGAGUCGGCCUGCGCGGAAGAUGUAACGGGGCUAAACCAUGCACCGAAGCUGCGGCAGCGA
rnacentral:rRNA from 2 species